GUGUCUGGCACAUAGUGGGCACUUAAAGCUGGUUUGGACUUGCAUUCAAUAGUUUUGAUGAACAUGAUCCUAAAGUUUUAAGGUCCAUGAGUGUUGGGAGGUAGGGAGAGACAAGAAUAAACUUUUUAUUUCCCUGAGAAAAUCAUAUGUUAUGUAAUAAUUUUAGAGUGAUGAAGACAUAGAUAUUUUUAUAAUUUUAAGAUACGUUAUCCUGCCAGAAUAUGAGAAGAUUGACAGAACCAGUUUGCUUGCUCUCUAUUUAUAGAACUUGGCCACAUCUAAUUCAGAGAAGCUGGAGAUUCAGGGACGCUAGACUUAGAUGACUGAGUAAUAUGGGAUGUGGUUCAAGGACUAUAGAGCAUGUCAAGCCAUUACUGCAAACUACUUAUAACAAAGGAAAUGUGAUCUAUUGCUAACUUCGUGUUCCCACCAUGGAGAGGUGAGGAUAAACAUUUUUGCCGUGGCCUGUCAGAUUCCCUUAACCUUGGGUCAGUCUCUUGACAAUGGCCAUCGAGAGAGCACGUGGAGUGCCCCUUGCCCUGCCUUGGCCUGCCGUGGAGAAACAGUCUUUGAAGAAUCACUGUCUAAGGAAUGAAGAAUUGAGAAGAGGUAAUAGCAACGGCGUGAUCUUUUGUUGGAACACCACUGAGCCCUGGUCCAGAGCUAAAUGAUGUGCUGUUCUACUUUGUUCCCCGUUGGAAACGUAUUGAUUCAAAACCUGGACCUAAUGGUUAUAACUAACUGCAUCUUUAGAACACAGGAAAUCUCAGGAAGUCAUUAAUGGUGUUAGAAGGCCUCAGACUUGAAGCUAAAGACGAGCAACUGCAACCUGUUCCUUUAUGCUGGUGAGAGCUGAAACGAGGACUCAGUGCAGCCAGCACUGGCUGGGACCCUUCUUGGUGACACACUGUGCUGGCCGUGGCCGAGCCUGCAGACUUGGGUGAUACGGAUGCUGCUGACCAGAGACCACACUUUGAGACCCAUUGACUUUGAGGAAGUGAUACUUGACUUGAGCGUUUUGGGGAAAAUCUGGCAGCAGGACUAGCCAACACCAACUGAUUACCAGUCUGCCUGGAGAGCUGUGUUGAGAAGGAUUCUGAAGCUGAGAAUGGACCCAGCACUGUGGAGCUAAGUCAUGUGAGCUGGAGAGUGUGGAAACCUACUUCUUUCGGAACCUGAAACCUACCUCCAUUGCCUGUGGCAAGAUUAAUCCGGUGGCAUCCACUCACUUGCCAAAGGCUCUCAAAUACAAGGGAAACGAACGCGAAGUAACAACGCAGAGACAGCGUCGCUGGGACCUGUGCAGUGCUGGGAGAUGUGCCAACUGGGAGACUUGACACCUUCACGUGCCUGACCCGGAGGCUCCCGCUAUCCCUGCAGGACUGGCUGGCACUGCGUGUUGCCCUCGUUUUAAUAUCCUAGAUCCUCAGGGUCCCCGGGUCAGAGGUGGAGCCACAGAGGAGAGAAGGAACAGUGAGAUGAAGACUUAACUCCCCGGAGAGGGUCGUCCUAAAACCAUCUGCCCAAAACGAACAAGGAGGAAGACGCCAAGAGGACACAGUCCUAGGCUCAGCUUUUCCACAAAUGAUGCAACUUCAGGCAAGUCGCUUUCCCUCCCUGGGCCUUCGUUCCCUCAUCCGUACAACGGGGACAAUGCCGGCGUCCCCACCCAGGGUUGUGGUGAGGAUGGAAUGCUCCCAGGUCCUGAGACACUGAAGCACUGGGCGAGCCCUGCUCAGCUCUCGUCUAAUGGGACUUGGCCCCGCUCGGAUCCCUGGUCCCUCUGCUCUAUGGGGAAAGGGCCAGCCUAGCUCAUCUCUGGGGAGCCCUUGCUCUGUGUUCUGAGCCACCUGCAGUCCCCGCAUCCCGGGGACAGGCGCCCCAACCCCGACCUGUACUCGGCUCCCCAGCCCUUGACGAAGCUCAUGCGGAUGGUGCACAUCCGGGUCAGCUGGUACACGGCCUCGAAGCCCUGGUUGACAGACUGAGCCAGGAGGGCAGCAAACUCCUGGUUGUUGAAGAUCUUCAGGUUGCAUCCUGCAAACAGAACAAAAACAGUGCUCGUGGGGACGAAGAGUGCACUUGUCCGGAGCUCCUCUCCUGGCUAAAGCCCCCCCCGCCGGGUCACCUGGACCGGUGUUCCCAUAUUAGCCACAGAUUCCACGCUCAGCACCACACUGGGGGCGGGCCCACGUGGUCCCUGCCCCUGAAGCCAUCACCGCCUUGAUGGGGAGAUGCAGCUGACACAGCAUGCCUCCUCACCCGAAGAGCUAGAAUAACUGGUGAGGACUAAGUGAGCCCCAAGACAGCCGUGUGCUCUGUAAACGCAACCACACGACGUUCCGGAAAUGGAGAGCACCACAAGCAUCUCAGACGCUUUGCAUUCUUAAGUGGAUCCAUCCCAUGACCCACCGCUCCACCAUCACCUGCUACUUAGUGAGCAGGAAGACAUGCCACACACGUGCCGCAGGCAAUGGACUGAGCCACACACUCUACCCACCGGGCAUAGUCCACACUCUGCGGCUGCGUGCCCUGGGAGAAGUGGGCUUCGGCGGGGGCUUCCUGCCUCAGCUUUCUAAAUAAAGAGGCCUUGGAUGAGAUCAGCCACCUGCCUGGUCAUCUACCCAGGCCUGGCCCUGUCCAAGCCACCCUCUGGGGUGAGCCUGCCACCCCUUGGAGUACAGGUGGGACUCGUAGCCCUACUCAGAAAACCCUCAACAGUCCCCCUGAAUAAAAGCAAAACUUUCUCAUGUCCUUCCAUGGCCUGGUCCCAUCAUGUUUUCUAAACAUGUCUCCCGACUGUCGUUUAAACGGCCUCCACUGCAGGCAGAGUGCAGCCCACGUGUGCCCUGCCCUCCAUCACCUCUGGGCCUUCGCCCAUAUCGUUCCCUCUGCCUGGAAUGCCCUCACGGUCCCCGCCCCACCAUCACCCUAUGCCUAAUGCUUACCUACC